UAUCCUUCUCAGCCUUUUGGCUAAGAUCAAAGUGUAGUAUCUGUUCUUUUUGGUUACUUUGGUAAUAAUUUCAUGUUCUAUGCUUCACUAAUC
rnacentral:snRNA from 1 species